UGAAGGCGACCGGCGCGACGGUCAGCUCCGCGCGCAGCUCGGUCCGGCAGCAGCUGCGCAGUCUCAAGUUCGUGUCGCGGCCGCAGGGCUGGUCGCGGCCGGCGGGGCAGAAUGAGAUCGCGGGUGACAUGGAGCUGCUCCGGUUCAAGAUGAUCAGCCUGCAACAGCGCUACGAGGCGCUGGGCGCGCCGCUGCGGUUGAGCUCGCAGGACUCCAUCCAGUCCACCGCCUUGGUCGCCUCCAGGAACCAGUACCGCGUCAAUAGGCGCACCCGCACUGCCCUGCUGGCUGCCGAGAUGGGCAAGGUGGACGACAUGGAUGGCAUGAGAACCGAAAUGAAGAAUAUGUCCCAAGAAUUCGUUAUAAAGAUGACGACAAAGGGACGAAGACCUUCAAAAUAACUUCCGUAGCCGACCGUCUCGUGUGUCCCAGCAGUUUGUAUCCGACUUCUGCUCACGUCAAGCACUUGCCGAUUGCUUUUUACGAAUAAACGUAGCUAUUAAAUCGGGGGAUUUGUAAAUCGGCCUUUUUUGCAAGACCACGUAGC